rnacentral:rRNA from 1 species
GAUGAACGCUGGCGGCGUGCCUAACACAUGCAAGUCGAGCGAUCUUCUUCGGAAGAGAGCGGCGGACGGGUGAGUAACGCGUGGGUAACCUGCCUCAUACACAUGAAUAACAUACCGAAAGGUAUGCUAAUACAAGAUGAUAUAAGAGAUUCGCAUGGAUUUCUUAUCAAAGCUCCGGCGGUAUGAGAUGGACCCGCGUCUGAUUAGCUAGUUGGUAAGGUAACGGCUUACCAAGGCGGCGAUCAGUAGCCGACCGGAGAGGGUGAUCGGCCACAUUGGACCUGAGUAACGGUCCAAACUCCUACGGGAGGCAGCAGUGGGGAAUAUUGCACAAUGGGCGAAAGCCGGAUGCAGAAACGCCGCGUGAGCGAUGAAGGCCUUCGGGCCGUAAAGCUCUGUCCUCAAGGAAGAUAAUGACGGUACUUGAGGAGGAAGCCCCGGCCAACUACGUACCAGCCGCCGCCGUAACAC